CCUGGGCGAGUGUACGGCUCUGGCAACUGGUCCAGCAAUCUUCCUGUAGAGUUCUCGAACUCCCAACCACUCAGACUAGGGUCGGAAUGCUCGCUACUACACCCUUGUGUCUACUACACCUCUCCAGAGCUCUUGAUCACAUCGAUCAACGUUCCUGUGCUGCUUCUGGGGGAGCCGGGAAAGUGGGUGCCUAUGUCUUCUCGCAGGUUCCCGAGCUUGCAGCUGGCCCAUGAGGAUGUCUACGUGAGGGUCAACGUGGGGUCAAACGAGACGGUGACCUUCCAGUACAUGUAUGACGACAUGACCCAGGUCCAGACGGUCACGUGUGACAACAGCGGCCGGCCCAAGCCCACCUCAGGGGUGAUCAGCGUCCGCUAUGGCAAAUGUCAACUUGGUUAAGGUCGCAGAAGUAAACUUGCGCCCCACUUUGCCUAAUGUUGUGCUGCCUCCCUCGGUCCAGAUCGUAAUAGUAAAGUUGAACCACCCCUCCCGGGUUAAAAAUCUGAUUGUUAUUGUAACUAAUUCAAAAUUGCAUGGAAAUAUAAAACCUGAAACAAUGCUGGGUAUGUGUGCAAAUAGUUUCAGAAAUGCUAAAUACUUAAUGUAAUAAAACGACUAUAACAGUA